GCCAUCAUUUAAAGAAAGCGUAAUAGCUCACUGGUCGAGUCGGCCUGCGCGGAAGAUGUAACGGGGCUAAACCAUGCACCGAAGCUGCGGCAGCGAUAUGAAUAUAUUGUUGGGUAGGGGAGCGUUCUGUAAGCCGGUGAAGGUGGGUCGUGAGGCCUGCUGGAGGUAUCAGAAGUGCGAAUGCUGACAUAAGUAACGAUAAAGCGGGUGAAAAACCCGCUCGCCGGAAGACCAAGGGUUCCUGUCCAACGUUAAUCGGGGCAGGGUGAGUCGACCCCUAAGGCGAGGCCGAAAGGCGUAGUCGAUGGGAAACAGGUUAAUAGUCCUGUACUCGGUGUUACUGCGAAGGGGGGACGGAGAAGGCUAGGCCGGCCGGGCGACGGUUUGUCCCGGUUGAAGCGUGUAGGUGGGGUGACCUGGCAAAUCCGGUCAUCCAUAACACUGAGGCGUGAUAACGAGCCACUACGGUGGUGAAGUGGUUGAUGCCCUGCUUCCAGGAAAAGCCUCUAAGCAUCAGGUAACAUUGAAUCGUACCCCAAACCGACACAGGUGGUCAGGUAGAGAAUACUCAGGCGCUUGAGAGAACUCGGGUGAAGGAACUAGGCAAAAUGGUGCCGUAACUUCGGGAGAAGGCACGCUGGCAUUAAGUGAAGGGCCGUGCGCCCGGAGCUGAAGCCAGUCGCAGAGACCAGCUGGCUGCAACUGUUUAAUAAAAACACAGCACUGUGCCAACACGAAAGUGGACGUAUACGGUGUGACGCCUGCCCGGUGCUGGAAGGUUAAUUGAUGGGGUUAGCGGCAACGCGACGCUCCUGAUCGAAGCCCCAGUAAACGGCGGC
rnacentral:rRNA from 1 species